GGACCGGUUAGCUCAGUCAGUUGAGCGUGGUGCUAACAACACUAAGGUCGCAGGUUCUAUUCCCGUUCGGUCCC
rfam:Apaloderma vittatum contig85843, whole genome shotgun sequence.